rnacentral:rRNA from 1 species
GACGUAGGGCGCGAGCGUUGUCCGGAUUUAUUGGGCGUAAAGAGCUCGUAGGCGGCUUGUCGCGUCGUCCGUGAAAACUUGGGGCUCAACCCCAAGCUUGCGGUCGAUACGGGCAGGCUAGAGUUCGGUAGGGGAGACUGGAAUCCUGGUGUAGCGGUGAAAUGCGCAGAUAUCAGGAGGAACACCGGUGGCGAAGGCGGGUCUCUGGGCAGUAACUGACGCUGAGGAGCGAAAGCGUGGGGAGCGAACAGG